rnacentral:RNase_P_RNA from 1 species
GAGUAGGCCGGGUGAUCGCGGAUGCGGGAACAGAUCCUGCAUGCGAGGAAAGUCCGAGCUCCACAGGGCAGGGUGCUGGGUAAUUCCCAGUAAGGGUGACCUUCAGGAAAGUGCCACAGAAACAUACCGCCUUGACGUGCCUGGGGCCUGAGCUGUAGAGCCGAGCCCUGGGUCCGGAAAGGUAAGGGUGGAAUGGUGUGGUAAGAGCACACCGGCAGCCAGGUGACUGGCUGGCCAGGUAAACCCCACCCGGAGCAAGACCAAAUAGGAGGGGGAUGAAGCGGCCCGCUGAACCCUUGGGUUAGGUCGCUGGAGGAGCCGGGCAACCGGUUCCCGAGAUAGAUGAUCACCCACGACAGAACUCGGCUUACAGGCCUGCUCA